rnacentral:rRNA from 1 species
GACGAACGCUGGCGGCGUGCUUAACACAUGCAAGUCGAACGGAAAGGCCCUUCGGGGUACUCGAGUGGCGAACGGGUGAGUAACACGUGGGUGAUCUGCCCUGCACUUUGGGAUAAGCCUGGGAAACUGGGUCUAAUACCGAAUAGGACCACGCGCUUCAUGGUGUGUGGUGGAAAGCUUUUGCGGUGUGGGAUGGGCCCGCGGCCUAUCAGCUUGUUGGUGGGGUAAUGGCCUACCAAGGCGACGACGGGUAGCCGGCCUGAGAGGGUGACCGGCCACACUGGGACUGAGAUACGGCCCAGACUCCUACGGGAGGCAGCAGUGGGGAAUAUUGCACAAUGGGCGCAAGCCUGAUGCAGCGACGCCGCGUGAGGGAUGACGGCCUUCGGGUUGUAAACCUCUUUCAAUAGGGACGAAGCGCAAGUGACGGUACCUAUAGAAGAAGCACCGGUCAACUACGUG